GGUAGGGUGGCCGAGCGUCAGGUGUCGGAUUGUAGCCCCGCAGACAGAGGUUUAAGUCCUCUCCCCAUCA
rnacentral:tRNA from 1 species